CAUCUGCAGAGACUUGUACUUCUCAUCUCUUCUGUCUUUUUUUAACUUCUGUUGUGUCUGCUUUAAAUAAGAAAUAUAAUGGCUCAUGAAAGGAUGUGGAGUAGGGUGUAGGUUUAAGAAAGUCACAGAACAAAGUGUUGUGCCGGGUCUUUGAAUUUCUUAAAAUUAAGCAGUCUUUAGAAGCAGAGCUGUUCACCUUCACUCACAACCUUGGAGCUGCUCUAUGGAAAACCUUCUGUGUUUGACAGGAAGAGAUCUAUCCCUGUUAGUCACUUUUAGUUAGGCUUAAUCACUUAAUCUUACAGAAAUGGUACUGCCGAACUGCAGCCUGCUCUCUCCAGGAACGGCUGCAUGCCCUGUGCCCAGAGCUGUCUUUUUGUGUUACGUGUCACCGCAGACUUUAGCCAGAAAGGUUCUGAACUUGGAAUGGGAGCACGGAGUCACUGGCUAAGACACAGAGCCCCAAGCAAACUGGAGGGGGAGCUAGGAAUAAACAAUAAAAUCAGCUACAGGCUCACCAGUACAGGUACUCACAACGGGGGCAGCUGGAAGCACAUCCCUCAGUGCAGUAAGCAGAGAACACCCAGAUUUUGCUGAGACAAGAGCCACCAUCCAUCAUCAUAUGACAGGUCCCUUUCGAUCCAUAAGCCUUCUGUAAGGUCUCCCUGGAACUUCCCCUUCUCCAAGAUGAACAACCCCAACUCUCUCAGUCUGUCUUUGCAUAACAGAGGUGCUCCAGCCCUGGAAUCAUUGUGGACUCAUUACAGCAGAUCAAUGUCCUUCCUCUGUUGGGGGAUGGAUAUAACACCUCAGUGCUAGAAGGGGAGUAGGGAUUCUCCAUACUUCAAGAAAUAUCUUAAGGAACAAAAGAAAGACAGAGAACAGGAGAUGCAUUGGGAUUGCAAUA